rfam:Gorilla gorilla gorilla genomic chromosome, chr6, whole genome shotgun sequence
GUCGGGCGCGGUGGCACAUGCCUAUUGUCCCAGCUACUCAGAAGACUGAGGUGGGAGGAACGCUCGAGCCCAGGAGUUCUGGGCCGUAGUGUGCUAUGCCGAUUGAAUUUCCACACUAAGUUCAGCAUCAAUAUAGUGACCUCCUGGGAGCAAGAGACCACCAGGUUACCUAAGGAAAGGUGAACCAGCCCAGGUCAGAAAUGGAGCAGGUCAAAACUCCCGUGCUGAUCAGUACAGUACUGGGAGUGCACCUGUGAGUAGCCACUGCACUCCAGCCUGGGCAGCAUAAUGAGAUCCUGUCUCUA